GGCGUGGGGCUGCUUACCAUGCAGUCGAACGGCAGCACGGACUUCGGUCUGGUGGCGAGUGGCGAACGGGUGAGUAAUAUAUCGGAACGUACCCUGGAGUGGGGGAUAACGCAGCGAAAGUUGCGCUAAUACCGCAUACGAUCUACGGAUGAAAGUGGGGGAUCGCAAGACCUCAUGCUCGUGGAGCGGCCGAUAUCUGAUUAGCUAGUUGGUAGGGUAAAAGCCUACCAAGGCGACGAUCAGUAGCUGGUCUGAGAGGACGACCAGCCACACUGGAACUGAGACACGGUCCAGACUCCUACGGGAGGCAGCAGUGGGGAAUUUUGGACAAUGGGGGCAACCCUGAUCCAGCAAUGCCGCGUGAGUGAAGAAGGCCUUCGGGUUGUAAAGCUCUUUUGUCAGGGAAGAAACGGUGGGGGCUAAUAUCCUCUGCUAAUGACGGUACCUGAAGAAUAAGCACCGGCUAACUACGUGCCAGCAGCCGCGGUAAUACGUAGGGUGCAAGCGUUAAUCGGAAUUACUGGGCGUAAAGCGUGCGCAGGCGGUUAUAUAAGUCAGAUGUGAAAUCCCCGGGCUCAACCUGGGCACUGCAUUUGAGACUGUAUGGCUAGAGUGUGUCAGAGGGGGGUAGAAUUCCACGUGUAGCAGUGAAAUGCGUAGAUAUGUGGAGGAAUACCGAUGGCGAAGGCAGCCCCCUGGGAUAACACUGACGCUCAUGCACGAAAGCGUGGGGAGCAAACAGGAUUAGAUACCCUGGUAGUCCACGCCCUAAACGAUGUCUACUAGUUGUCGGGUCUUAAUUGACUUGGUAACGCAGCUAACGCGUGAAGUAGACCGCCUGGGGAGUACGGUCGCAAGAUUAAAACUCAAAGGAAUUGACGGGGACCCGCACAAGCGGUGGAUGAUGUGGAUUAAUUCGAUGCAACGCGAAAAACCUUACCUACCCUUGACAUGGAAGGAAUCCCUGAGAGAUUGGGGAGUGCUCGAAAGAGAGCCUUCACACAGUGCUGCAUGG
rnacentral:rRNA from 1 species